rnacentral:tRNA from 1 species
CCCUGUGUGGCUCAGUUGGUAGAGCAUGGUGUUUGCAACGCCAGCAUGGUGUGUGUGCAACGCCAGGGUUGUGGGUUCGAUUCCCACGGGGG